rnacentral:tRNA from 1 species
GGCUUGCUGGUCUAGUGGUAUGAUUCUCGCUUUGGGUGCGAGAGGUCACGGGUUCGAUUCCAGUGCAAGCCC